AAGGAAGGGGAAGAAGGGAGGGGGGGAGGAAGGGGAGCAGCAGCGAGUACAAAAUCUAGGNGUAUAGUAACGUGGAGUGUUGGUAUACUNAGUGGCUUACCCAUCUUAUACUCCGUCCUAUGUUACUCCCCACGNCUUUCAGUCCGCAUAUGACGUGCCAUGUAUNCACGCGCCANGGGGCGUACGCUUCGGCCGAUCAUGGUAUUCCUCCACAUCUCUACGGCAUUGUCACUGUCUACACGUUGGAAUUCUACCCCCCUCUGCCAUACUCUAGCCCGCCAGUCACAAAUGCAGUUCCCAGGUUAAGCCCGGGGAUUUCACAUCUGUCUUAGCGGACCGCCUGCGCACGCUUUACGCCCAGUAAUUCCGAUUAACGCUUGCACCCUACGUAUUACCGCGGCUGCUGGCACGUAGUUAGCCGGUGCUUAUUCUUCCGGUACCGUCAUCCUCCCGCCGUAUUAGGGCAGAAGUUUUCUUUCCGGACAAAAGUGCUUUACAACCCGAAUGCCUUCUUCACACACGCGGCAUUGCUGGAUCAGGCUUUCGCCCAUUGUCCAAAAUUCCCCACUGCUGCCUCCCGUACGAGUCUGGGCCGUGUCUCAGUCCCAGUGUGGCUGGUCGUGCUCUCAGACCAGCUACAGAUCGUCGCCUUGGUAGGCCUAUACCCCACCAACUAGCUAAUCUGCCAUCGGCCGCCUCUGUAGCGGGAGGUUCUACAGAUCCCCCCCCGUUUCCCUCCGUUAAGAGCCGUUAUUGCGGGGUAUUUAAAUUCCCGGGGCAUUUUCCCGCCUCGGGGGG
rnacentral:rRNA from 1 species